GGAACUGCAUUUGAAACUGGUUGACUAGAGUUUUGUAGAGGGUGGUAGAAUUUCAGGUGUAGCGGUGAAAUGCGUAGAGAUCUGAAGGAAUACCAGUGGCGAAGGCGGCCACCUGGACAAAGACUGACACUGAGGCGCGAAGGCGUGGGGAGCAAACGGGAUUAGAUACCCCGGUAGUCCACGCAGUAAACGAUGUCUAUUAGAAGUUUGUGGCCAUAUGCCGUGGGUUUCAAAGCUAACGCAUUAAAUAGACCGCCUGGGGAGUACGGCCGCAAGGUUAAAACUCAAAUGAAUUGACGGGGGCCCGCACAAGCGGUGGAGCAUGUGGUUUAAUUCGAUGCAACGCGAAGAACCUUACCAUCCCUUGACAUCCAGAGAAUCACCUAGAGAUAGAUGAGUGCCUUCGGGAACUCUGAGACAGGUGCUGCAUGGCUGUCGUCAGCUCGUGUUGUGAAAUGUUGGGUUAAGUCCCGCAACGAGCGCAACCCUUAUCCUUAGUUGCCAGCACGUAAUGGUGGGAACUCUAGGGAGACUGCCGGUGAUAAACCGGAGGAAGGUGGGGACGACGUCAAGUCAUCAUGGCCCUUACGGGAUGGGCUACACACGUGCUACAAUGGCGAAUACAAAGGGUUGCUAACCUGCGAGGGUAUGCGAAUCUCAUAAAGUUUGUCGUAGUCCGGAUCGGAGUCUGCAACUCGACUCCGUGAAGUUGGAAUCGCUAGUAAUCGUGGAUCAGAAUGCCACGGUGAAUACGUUCCCGGGCCUUGUACACACCGCCCGUCACACCAUGGGAGUGGGCUGCACCAGAAGUCAUUAGCUUAACCUUCGGGAUGGCGAUGACCACGGUGUGGUUCAUGACUGGGGUGAA
rnacentral:rRNA from 1 species